rnacentral:pre_miRNA from 1 species
GACUUCAAAUAAAAAAGUCAUCAAAAACAAAGUUAUAACAUCAAUAUCUAUAACUUUUAUUUUGGUUUUUUCUUUAUCCGAUAAAGUGAUAGUAACAUUGUUCACAAAAUUUAUAUAUCUCUCUUAUAGUUUAUAAACUAUAUAAGAGAUGUGUAAAUUUUGUGAACAAUGUUACCAUCACUUUAUUGGAUGAAGAAAUGACCAAAAUAAAAGUUAUAGAUAUUGAUGAUUUAUACAACUUUGUUGUUGAUGAUUUUUUCAGUUGAAAUC